GCUGUAUGAGGCGGUUUGAUAUAAUCUGGGGUACCAGGGAGGGCCUCCCUGAUCAGAAAAUUGCGCAGGUGUUCACUGGACACAGAGGGCUGCUUUUCCCGAGAGUGGGAACGACAGCGCCCUGAGGUGGGAAGAAGCCAUGAGGUUGUGGAGACCCGGAGAAGAAGGUCAGGGAGCUGCGAGCCAGGGAGAAGGGGCAUCUGCAUGUGACUUCCAUCCUCGUGGUUUGCAAGAUGGUUGCUGUAACUCCAAGAGUUGUGAACACGCUCCGGACAGAAGAAGGAGGGAGGAGGAAAGAAGGAGAAGAGCCAGUAUUGGGAAAAUGGAAGCUUUCCUCAGAAAUCCCCCAUGGACUUCCGCUUCUGUCUCAUUGGCCAGAACGGGGUCAUGUGACGACUGGCUGUGAAGAGGUCUGGGAAGGUUCAUGUUUUCAGCUGAGUAUAUUGUAGGGCUGAACAAAAUUGGGGUUUUGUGGUGAGAAGGAAGUAGAGAUUAGAAUGGGGGAAUAACUAGCCGUUCUGGCAUGUGUCACGGUCUACUUCUUUAUUUCUUCUAACUUUAGAACCAGACAAAUAGGUGAAUAAAC
rnacentral:lncRNA from 1 species